GUACUUAACUCCUUCAGCACACAUACUGAAAUUGGAACGAUAUGGAGAUUAGCACGGCUCUUGCACAAGGAUGACGUGCAAACUUUGAAGUGUUCUAUACAUUA
ensembl:snRNA U6 U6 spliceosomal RNA